CCCACUUCGGUGGGGGAUUAGUGGCGAACGGGUGAGUAACACGUGGGCAAUCUGCCCUUCACUCUGGGACAAGCCCUGGAAACGGGGUCUAAUACCGGAUAUGACCACUUCAGGCAUCUGAUGGUGGUGGAAAGCUCCGGCGGUGAAGGAUGAGCCCGCGGCCUAUCAGCUUGUUGGUGAGGUAAUGGCUCACCAAGGCGACGACGGGUAGCCGGCCUGAGAGGGCGACCGGCCACACUGGGACUGAGACACGGCCCAGACUCCUACGGGAGGCAGCAGUGGGGAAUAUUGCACAAUGGGCGAAAGCCUGAUGCAGCGACGCCGCGUGAGGGAUGACGGCCUUCGGGUUGUAAACCUCUUUCAGCAGGGAAGAAGCGCAAGUGACGGUACCUGCAGAAGAAGCGCCGGCUAACUACGUGCCAGCAGCCGCGGUAAUACGUAGGGCGCAAGCGUUGUCCGGAAUUAUUGGGCGUAAAGAGCUCGUAGGCGGCUUGUCGCGUCGGAUGUGAAAGCCCGGGGCUUAACCCCGGGUCUGCAUUCGAUACGGGCAGGCUAGAGUGUGGUAGGGGAGAUCGGAAUUCCUGGUGUAGCGGUGAAAUGCGCAGAUAUCAGGAGGAACACCGGUGGCGAAGGCGGAUCUCUGGGCCAUUACUGACGCUGAGGAGC
rnacentral:rRNA from 1 species